CCUUGAUAAACCCGAACACACCUCACUUUGAUUGUGGAGUUGGUAAUUGCCUUGCUGAGAUUGUUAACACAGGUAUCUAUCAAUAAUACAGCAGUGAAGUCCUAAACUUAAAGUUACAAAGAAAGGAAUACAAAUAGGGUUAUAUAAAACCCUAAUAAACAGGAGCCGCCUCUACUAUAGCAGAAAAAGGAGAGAGAGAAACCUUACUGUAUAAAGGUGAUUACAACAUAAUCAUUUUAUAGACCUGCAGAGGACUGAUUCAAGCAUGAGAGCUAUUAGAGUCUACAACAGAAUCUGCCAUCAUGGGAAGUAAAGAGAUAAAAG